rnacentral:misc_RNA from 1 species
AGCAAAAUGUGCUACAGUGACUUGUUAAGUUAAUUCUUAUGUAUGGAUUUCAAAGAUUUAUACUUUAUUACUGCAUGACUUGUUUAAUGAGUAAUUUUAAUGUAGGAAUUUCAAAGAUUUUAGUUCUACUGUAUUAUAGCAUGUCUUGUUAAGUAAAUUUUCAAUUAGGUAUUUCAAAGAUAUUAGUUUUGCUGUUUUCAAGAUUGAUUUUUACAUAGCCUGUUUAUAGAGAUGAGAAGAGAUAUACAUGUACAUGACUUUUUAAAGAGUGAUUAUCUUUGUUUUAAUUUAGUUUUAUUGCAUACAUCCAACCAUAAUUUGAAUAAUAUUUGCUCUCAGUAAAAAUAGCAUUCAUAGACAUAUUGACUUCCAUUGCCAUGCAUUAAAUAAAACAAUUUUUUAGUGUUUGAAUAAUAUCUGACAUUUCUUUAGAAGCAGAGACUUAGUUAUGUUACAUACAUGUUUAUUCUGCCUUGCCGUCCCAAAAUGACAUAUUUGUUCAUGUACAUAUUUUAUGUACUGUUCAUGUACAUAUAUCAUGUACAUGCAUGUGAUUAGAUGAGAUUUCAUUUACAUACGCGAAGAUUACUUGUUGUUGACUUUAUUUUGUAUAUUUCAUCACGAAGCAUUUAUUGCAUGUUAUAAUUGUGUAUAAGAUAUAUUUAUUACUACGUAGAAGUGCUGUAACUUAUUUUUAUGGCACGUAGAAAAAGUGCAUACAAAAUAUUUAUAUUUAUGGAAGAGUUUGUAUACGUUUGUAUACCGAGUAUUUUGUAUUGGGUUAAUUGUACUUUUUUUUGAAAUGUUGUAAAAACGUCAUUCAUUUACUGCUAUGCAUGACUAAGGAAAAAUCAAUUAACCAUAAAUAAAUUAAUUUUCAUAUC